UACGGGGGGAGCAAGCGUUGUUCGGAUUUACUGGGCGUAAAGGGCGCGUAGGCGGCCAGCACAAGUCAGUUGUGAAAUCUCCGAGCUUAACUCGGAACGGUCAACUGAUACUGUGCGGCUAGAGUGCAGAAGGGGCAACUGGAAUUCUUGGUGUAGCGGUGAAAUGCGUAGAUAUCAAGAGGAACACCUGCGGCGAAGGCGGGUUGCUGGGCUGACACUGACGCUGAGGCGCGAAAGCGUGGGGAGCAAACAGG
rnacentral:rRNA from 1 species